CCUACGGGUGGCAGCAGUGGGGAAUAUUGCACAAUGGGCGAAAGCCUGAUGCAGCAACGCCGCGUGAGCGAUGAAGGCCUUCUGGGCGUAAAGCUCUGUCCUCCAGGGAGAUAAUGACGUUACUUGCGGAGGAAGCCCCGGCUCCCUACGUGCCAGCAGCCGCGGUCAUACGUAGGGGGCUAGCGUUAUCCGGAAUUACUGGGCGUAAAGGGUGCGUAGGUGGUUUCUUAAGUCAGAGGUGAAAGGGUACGGCUCAACCGUAGUAAGCCUUUGAAACUGGGGAACUUGAGUGGAGGAGAGGAGAGCGGAAUGCCUAGUGUAGCGGUGAAAUGCGUAGAUAUUAGGAGGAACACCAGUUGCGAAGGCGGCUCGCUGGACUGUAACUGACACUGAGGCACGAAAGCGUGGGGAGCAAACAGGAUUAGAUACCCUAGUAGUC
rnacentral:rRNA from 1 species